AUUGAACGCUGGCGGCAGGCCUAACACAUGCAAGUCGAACGAGUAGCGGACGGGUGAGUCAUGUCUGGGCAACUGCCUGAUGGAGGGGGCUAACUACUGGAAACGGUAGCUAAUACCGCUUAACAUCCGAUGGGGCCAGGUGGGAUUAGAUAGUUGGUGGGGUGACGGCUCACCAAGGCGACGAUCCCUAGCUGGUCCGAGAGGAUGACCAGCCACACUGGAGAGGAGCAAAGGUCCAGACCCCUACGGGAGGCAGCAGUGGGGAAUAUUGCACAAUGAGCUGAAGCCUGAUGUGUCCAUGCGGCGUGUAUGAAGAAGGCCUUCGGGUUGUAAAGGACGUUCAGCGGGGAGGCGUUACCCGCAGAAGAAGCACCGGCUAACUCCGUGCCAGCCGCCGCGGUAAUUC
rnacentral:rRNA from 1 species